rnacentral:rRNA from 1 species
CUGCUGCCUCCCGUAGGAGUCUGGGCCGUGUCUCAGUCCCAAUGUGGCCGGUCACUCUCUCAAGCCGGCUACUGGUCGUUGCUUUGGUAGGCCGUUACCCCUGCCAACUGGCUAAUCAGACGCGGGGCCAUCGUAUGCCGAUAAAUCUUUUCACACCAUAGCCAUGCACGCAUUGUGUGCUUAUGCGGUUAUUAGCAGUCAUUUCUUGACCUGUUGUCCCCCCGUGCAUACGGCAGGUUCCCACG